rnacentral:rRNA from 1 species
AACGAACGCUGGCGGCAUGCCUAAUACAUGCAAGUUGAACGAUACCUUCGGGUCCAUGGGCGCACGGGUGCGUAACGCGUGGGAACCUGCCCUUAGGCGCGGAAUAACUCCCCGAAAGGGGUGCUAAUACCGGAUAAUGUCUUCGGACCAAAGAAUUAUCGACUCUGGAUGGGGCCGCGUUGGAUUAGCUAGUUCGUAGGGUAAAAGCCUACCAAGGCGACGAUCCAUAGCUGGUCUGAGAGGAUGGUCAGCCACACUGGGAGUGAGACACGUCCGAAACUCUUACGGGAGGCAGCAGUGGGGAAUAUUGGACAAUGGGCGAAAGCCUGAACCAGCAAGGCCGCGUGAGUGAUUAAGGCCUGAAGGUGGUAAAGGUCUUUUACCCGGGAUGAUAAUGACAGUACCGACAGAAUAAGCUACGGCUAACUCCGUG